rnacentral:miRNA from 1 species
CUUAUUAAAACCAUUUACGCGUUUCACCUUUGGGGUUUUCUCAAAAUUUUUUUUGAGAAAACCCCAAAGGUGAAACGCGUAAAUGGUUUUAAUAAGUGUAUUUUAAU